CCUACGGGGGGCAGCAGUGGGGAAUAUUGGACAAUGGGGGCAACCCUGAUCCAGCCAUGCCGCGUGUGUGAAGAAGGCCCUCGGGCUGUAAAGCACUUUCAGUGAGGAAGAACGCCUGGUGGUUAAUACCCAUCAGGAAAGACAUCACUCACAGAAGAAGCACCGGCUAACUCCGUGCCAGCAGCCGCGGUAAUACGGAGGGUGCGAGCGUUAAUCGGAAUUACUGGGCGUAAAGCGCGCGUAGGUGGCUUGAUAAGCCGGUUGUGAAAGCCCCGGGCUCAACCUGGGAACGGCAUCCGGAACUGUCAAGCUAGAGUGCAGGAGAGGAAGGUAGAAUUCCCGGUGUAGCGGUGAAAUGCGUAGAGAUCGGGAGGAAUACCAGUGGCGAAGGCGGCCUUCUGGACUGACACUGACACUGAGGUGCGAAAGCGUGGGUAGCAAACAGGAUUAGAUACCCUGGUAGUC
rnacentral:rRNA from 1 species